GCCUCCUUGCAAAAUUAUUUCUAGUUAAUACAUUAUGCAGAAGGUAUAAGGGCUUGUCUUUGCUUUUUAGUGCUUGAUACAGUUCUUUCAUCUUUCCCUUACUGUACUAUGUCUAUUGUGCCAGGGUAAAAAUUUCUAUCGCCUAUACUUUUGUCUAAGGUAAAUGGUUUAAGAUAGUUGAUAAUAUUUUUAGCAAGGUUUGGGGCUAGAGUUGGCUCAAAGUGAUUAGGUCAUGAUGAAAUCUUCUGGGUGUAAGCCGGAUGCUUUGGGUUAAGCUACAUUUUGGUAUGUCCAAGCGCAAUUUCCAGUACACUUACCAUGUUACGACUUAUUUCCUCUAUACUUGCGUAGAAAGUUAUUAGUAAUAGUGAUUUCUACAGUAACAUUUGAGGAGGGUGACCAGUGGUGUGUGUGUGCUUCAUGGCCUUAUUCAAGCAAGCACUCUGCUCUUGGUUUACUGCUAAAUCCACCACCCAGUCGAAUCCAACAGACCAUAAGACCAUAAGACCA